CGUCGCCCAUAACCUCCGUGUACAGUUAUACACACAUAAAUAAACAAAAUUUUCCCUCAUGUUUGGUCUACGAGAACCACAAACGCCCAACACCUGUUGCAGCCAAUCUAAAUCACAACCCCUGCAAAGUUGAAUCAGUGGGGUGGUCAUCAUAGGGUUCUUCAAUCGCAACUCGGUAAGCAUUUAGAUUGAAACUAGGGUUUCUUCUGAUUGCAAUUUUUAUGUUCAAGCCUCCAUCAGUUGGUGCAGUUUAUCACCAGGACGUCUUCCACUAAUUUAGUUCUUCUCCCACGAGUCAAGGUUAGUGAGUUCUUAACCUGAAAUUAAUUUUUUUUAUGUCUUCUGAUUGAUUCAUGUUGCUUCUAAUCAUUAUCAUCUUCACCAUCGCGGGACACCACUUGGUAAAGCUAGAGAAACUUCAUUGGCUCUAGGUUAGGCUAAAUGUCAGAUUUUGAGAAGUUUUUAUUCAGUUUAUAUGUUUUACUUCAUAUUUCUGCUACAUUCUGCACUAUUGUUUGAAUUCAUUGGUGUUGCCAAACGGAAUCCAUUUCAAUUUAGUAUGCUUGAACGUUCUUUACGUCAUUGGAAUUGGUCGCAUGAGGUGUCUUCAUCAUCAGCCUGGCAGGUUCAAGAGCAAUUUUAGAGGUGUGUUAAUUAUAUCAGUAUAUCACCAAUUUUAAUUUCUUAAUACUUAUAUUAUCUAUUCUACGCUACACAUGGUGGAACCCUAUUCCACUCCCUCUGUACUCAUGGCAUUGAUUAUUCAGGCAACACCAGUCCGCUCCAGGGAUUCUGAUUUCGAUUACACUUAUGACAGCCAUGACAAACAGGGUGGUUGUUUCAACCUAUUCGAAGGUUAUCUACGGUCCAUGUUACAAUCACAUGCGUGUGUUAUGUAUCACACAUACAUGUCUAUUUUACGAGUAUUCCAAACUUCUUAUUUGAAUGUGGGCGUUAAACCAGUUUGACUACCAGAUGUUGUUAAUUCAUUUCAUCGAAGAAGUGUUAGAUCCUUUACAACAUGCUAUGGUCUCAACCCACCGUUUAAAAUAUUGUGUGACGAGGCGUUUAUACACCAUGUUACUGUUAAUCGCGUUAUUCCGGCUGAUACAAUCAUUUCUAACAUUUUAGGUGCUCCAGUAAAAAUACUCACCACCAGGUUCUAUGUAUUUGCUUUAUCAUGUUUUUUUACUAUUUACAACUUUAAUUACAUCUAAAAAUGUUUUUAGGCUUAAAAGUUCUUUCACUCUAUUGGUAAUUCAUUCCUUAGAUGUAUUCUUGCUGAGUUGAAAAGCCUUGGUGGUCUACUCUGAUUCGUGAUCUUGCGCAUGUAAGAGGAAGAGUGCUAUGGAUCGUCUAGCAGAUGUUAUUGGGGAAAGCAACCCAGGGCAUUUCUUUGUUGUUACUCAAGAUGUUGACUUGCAUUCCCGCUAUGCCUGCAAUAUUUGCACUUAGAAUUGCUUUAUUUCUUGAGUCUCAACAACAACUUGCCAAAGCUGCUGAAGGACACUCACGCUUGAAUAAGUUGUAGAUUAAAAUGCUAAAUCAUAAGAAAAAGAGAAGUUCUGAAACAGGCGAGCAGGCAGAUGAAGCUUUUCCAAAUGAAACCAUUGAAGAUUUAAAGAAAGUUGCUUCUACAAGGAAAAUUAAUGUUAAGGAUAAAUUAUAAUUCAGGAGAAAAGGAGCUAAGGUUUUGGUUCUUCAUCAUGUUGUUUUCUUGAUCUUUUUUUUACUAUUAUGCUAAGGUUUUGGUUCCUGCAUCAUAUUCGAGUUUUGGUAAUCAAGUCGCUAAUAUUUACGGGCAUUUUUCAGGGUCCAAAUCCAGUAUCUUGUAAGAAGAAAAAGGAGAACCAAAAACCUUUUGCCUAAAAGGUUUUGGUUCUUCAUCAUGUUGUUUUCUUGAUUUUUUUUUUUUUUUUACUUUUGUUACUUCAUCUUUGGUUCGAAUCUAUGUUGUAUAUAUACAUGCUUUAAGUCUUUAACUUAUCCGGUAAUGGAAAUCUUGAAAAAAAAAUGAGAGAUGUUUGGUUAUAAUAAAUUAGCUGAUUUAUGAUUUGAGCAAAAGGCAUGACUACCAUCAGAUUCCACUCUCAUUGUGGUAAAGUAGGUGUUGUUGACCCAUUCAGCUCACUAAUAUUUCAUCAACGGGUUGAGAUUGCCACAUGUAAAACUUGGGAACAUGAUUUCAAGUUAAGGAAAACAUAGCCUAAAUCGAUCAUUUUCUCUUUAAACGGGUCUAAUCUUGCAUAUAGUUUUCAUAUGCUUUUGCAUUGGCGCAUUUUUAAUUGCAGGGAAAACGUGGAAUAGAUGAGAUGUGCAAGAGAACAAUGGAACUUGCCAGUGAGAGCUCAUACGUGUAUCGAACCAAAGAUGAAGUAACAAAAGUAAAAAAGAAAAUUAGAAGAGUUUUCUUUCAAAAUUUAUGGCAGUAUAUAUUUGGUGAGUAUGAAGCAUGCACCUCCCUUCUUAUGAACAGAGUGAGAGAAGUUGAGAUAUUGAUGAUGCAAUUUUAUUUUGGUGCUGCUCCACAUCAUCUUCCUGCUGUACUUUAAGUGAGGAUGAUAAAAUGAUAGCUUUAGGCUUGUCUGAUGAGAUGGAUUUCAUCACAAACAAACCAUACACAAAAUGGUGAACUUACCCCUAUAUUGCUCACGGAAGGGCAAUCUUUGUACAUGUAUUAAUAAACAUAUAUUUUCAAGGUUUUGGUGAAUAGUGACUUUACUUGUUUUUAA